UGUGUAAUCCUAUAUAAAAAUAAGUCUGUUUACCAAAUCUUGAAUUGCAAAACUUAUGCUCGUAUAUUACCAUCACCACUAGGAAUGAACACUGAUUUCAGUAGAAACAAAAUAAUGCCUUUGUAUGUUUCUGAUGAAGUUCAGAGGGUACAACGGGUGCAACAAGUGCUGUGUGAGUUUCCCAGAGAACAGCUCUUUGGCAAGAAGCGCAGCUAAUCGUUUAUUCCAAAAAGGGGCCCUAGCCUGCUGAGUAAAGAAUAUCUCUAUAUACACAGUUCUGCGUGUAACUACCCGCGAAGGGACAGGUUAAACUGUGACAGACCGGGCUGCUUCUUCUGUGACUUUUUGUAAAGCGCACUUACUCCAUGUGUGUGAUUUCACUUAACAGCCUCACUUUUAUGACAGGUUACUCUGCCCCAAACUGAUGAAAUCCACAGAAUGUUAUCAUACUCCCUCGUGUAGUGGCUUGAAGACAAAAUCAGAAAUUCCUGAAACUCUGUUUGUUAUUUAGAACACAUGUAGUGUUGGACUCUCAAAAAUAUUGGAGACAGACAGGCAGAAGCCCCCAGGAGCUGGUAGCUGCUAGCCCAGCUUCUCUGAAGUAAUAUCAAAUACAUAUCUCAGAUGAACUUUGGAACCCACCAGGCUCAAGAUGGUUUGAAACCAACCAAAACAGGCUGGGUGGUGCCCAUCAGUUUAAGGAGCACCUAAGUAGAGAAGAUGGAGGUUGGUUCCCUUCUUACAGGGGAGAGACUUUGUUGUAAGAAGAGCGUGCUGCAGAGGACAUAGGACACAAAGAGUGACUACUGAUUGCAAUGUGGUUUACAGGGUCUCUUUAGGCAUCUUUUGACAAAGACCAGAAACAGUCAGGAGGAAGUCAGCAGAAGGCUGACUAUGUGAGUGAAGGGAGACUGGUGGAUAUAAUAAACCUGGACCUUUUUGUAAGGCUUUUGGCACCAUCACCCAAGGUAUUCUUCUCAAGUUGAGGAGUUAAGGGAUGCACGAAUGUCUUAAAAAUGAAUAUACUGCCACGUUCAAAAUCAACGACAGAAAGCCAGUAACAAGUGGAGUGUCUUGGUGGUCCAGUAUUGAUCAAGAUCUUCAUCAAGAUUUGGAUGACAAGAUCAUCACCAUCAUCACCAUCUGCUGCACACUGAAGCAAAUUCAAGAUGAUGUUCAGUCAAGAAAAGUGAUUCUUAUUUGUUAUACCAAGAAGCAAAGGUUUAACCCAGAAGGGCUUUGAGAAACAUGAUUGUGCUAAGAACUUCAUGAUAUCCUGCAGGGAGAAGAAGUUCAGUGUCUCAGAGUAGAAUAACUCCACACAUCAGCACAGGCUGGGAAAUGAAUUGCUGAGCCUUAAUGAAAGGGGAUCUGGAGACUUAAGUUGAUGUCAGAAUGAAAAUGAGCCAAGAGUGUGCUCUCAUUGCAAGUAGUACAAAAUGCACACUGGGUUACAUCAGGAGGAGCAUGCCCGGGAAAUCAGGGGAAAUUAUUACCUCAUUUACUCAUCUCUGGUGAGACCAGUUAUGAAUCCACCAGGAUGUCAAGAACCUUAAAGAGCCUGGUAAAGAGCUUUCAGCAGUAGCAGAAAGUAUUAUUAGGCCACAAGCACAUCUUGGGAAGUUGAGAUCAGCUCUAAGUUUAAUAAAUUAACAUAAAGCUAAGAAAACAAAAAAUAAGUUCUGCUCAGUGAAAUUAACAGGCUGAAAGGAAAGUCAUUGCCGGAAGGUAUAGUGUAGACCACAGCAAGGUUGGGACUAGCACCAUAAAACAGAGAGUGAACAAGGAGUGACACCAAGACUGCUUAAAAAUGGGUAUUCUGAAGUCUUCAUCUUACUAGCCAAAAUAACCAGUCACUGGCCUGAAAUGCUACAGUGUAGCAUGUCAUCUGGAUAUAGGAUGCAGGCUAACAAUUUUUAAAAGCCCAAUACAGGAAAUGAAGAAGCAGAAGUUCUGAGAUACUGUAACAAGACAAUUAGCAGUAAAUGGCUAUAUUCCAUGCCCAAAGGGCAGAUUGAUUUUGUGCUCUUCUAAAAAAGUAUCAAAUAUAUAUUUUGUAAAAACAAAUAGAGUUUUGGUAGUAACAGUGAAGAAUGUUUUGGCUCUGGGUAUGGAAAAGUCCAGAAUUUUAUCUACAUGAAACAAAUACAUAUUAUGUUUAAUGUCAUUACAAAACUGAACAAAAAAACAAUUAUUAUUAUUAUUAUUAAAUUAUUAUUAUAAAUUAAUAUCCAAAUUAAUUAAUACAGAAUAUAAUGAUAGUGUAAUUAUUAUUAUAUUUAAUAAUAAUAAUAAUAAUAAUCAGAAAACAAUUUUCAGAAUUAAAAAUCAAAGACAAUUUUUGAAGAACAUUAGUCAUUGCAGACCCAAGUCUUAAAGUUCAGAAAAAGUAUCAAAUAGAGCCAGCACUUCGGGUUUAAUAUGAGCAGGUCAAUCUCACUUAAAAGCUGCACGCAUUGGUUUUUGAUUUGAAUGAAUGGUGGAACAACACCGGCAGAGCUACAGCAGUUGUCUUUGAUGAAACAACAAUGACAACAAAUAACAACAAAACAUAACUGAUUAAGAUUAUUAGUAGGGAUUGGCUGCAUAGACUAUUGCCAGGCAAGAAAUCCCUAGGGAAUAGAACUUGAUUCAGAGGCACCAUACCACGGAACACUAACUGGAACAGAGAAGAAUUUAGGUAAAUAUGCUGAGAAGUACAGGAAAGACACAAUCACUGAAGAGUCUUCAAGCUGUCUUGAGGGGUAUGCGAUGAACAGAGAUAGCAUACCAAAAUACCCAAAGCUUGUAAUUUUACUAGAAGUAGAGGCCAAGUAGAGCAGGUUUUGUAGGAACAACCAAAACCACUGUUUACAGUAGCACUGGAAAAGUUGCAUCUUAAAUGCCAAGUUGUGUUUAUUAGCUGGACUGUAUAAGCACUUCCAGUUUCUGUCCUAAGAUAACCUUGUCAGAAAAUACAGCACUAAAGCAUAUCAUGUGUCUCUUUACUUUAUUGCUUACUAUGUAGUUGGUAAUGGCCAGCAGCAAUCACAGUUCUGUGGGCAUGAUCUCCCUCUGUCUGUGGUGAAGUACACAUGAAAUAUGGACAUGAUCCUGUUGCUUUCUGUGUCCUCUGUCCUGUCAAUUGAUCACCAGUGCUAUCAAAUUCAAAAAGCAGCUAUUCAAAAUGCUGGGCAGCAAGGCUGUGUUUACCCCUGGUCCCUUACUGAACUCUGCGGCUGCCAGCAUAACUGAGGAUUUAAUUUAGGUUUUCAUCACCCAGCACUGAGAUACAACAUCUAGAGCUGCAAGGCCACAGGUGUUUAAUAGAGUGUAGCAAAGCUUUACAAAUAAGUCUAAUUAUUAUUCAUUAGCAUUGCUAUUACAUUGCUGGAUAAAGCUAAGGUUAGGAACCCUGCUUUGCUACAGUUUAGUAAAAAUAAAUAUUGAGAGACAGUUCAUGGCAAAAACACUCAUUAUUGAAAUGGUGAGGACAUUCCCUAUCAUCUUCUACAUAGGGGACUACGGCCAGAGUCUAAGCCCUGAAUACUUCCAGGUUAUUAGUAAUUAUAAGUAUUAAUGUUAACACAAAUAUUAGUAUUGUGGGAUGAGGGGAUUUUGAGUGCAUAUAAAUACACUUUGUAGAAAGACCUGAAAGUAUUAAUCCACUUACUGUGGUUCCAGGGAGCUUUGCAAAAGGGGACAAUCUAACCACCAGAAAGCUACCUUGUGUCAUGAAGCUUUCCCUGGAUUGCCUCACCUUUGUUGAUGAACCCAUCUGAGCCACAAGAUCAUGUUGUUAACAGCAUGAAUAAUACUGACUUCAUCCUGGGAGAAUAAUAUGAAUGUACUGAAACAAAACAUUUUGAUCUGUGAGGCCCCAUAUCUGAAAAGACUGCCUGUACAACAGUUUGUGUCCUUUCAGCUCAGAAAGACCCUGAGCAAACUGAUAAGGAAUUACAUGAAGCACACUUGUUUCUGAAUGUAAGAUUUCCUGUUUAGCAUGCUUUCCCUGCUGGAGUGCAUUUAUUGCUUUGUUUGUCCCACACAUCAUAGUUUAUUUUCUUCUCAGAAGAAGCUCUUUAAAAAUUAUCAGAAUUUAAAAGAGGACAAAAACCUGUUGCAUUUUUUAUGACCAAUCUUUAAAUGGGGUAUCUCCAGAAAUAUUUGGACAGAACUUCAAAGCCAUUUUGGUAGAAUCUUAAGUAACAUGCUGAAAGUUUUCUUAACCCAGAAAGGAAACCUUGACCAUAACUAGAUAUCACAUUGUGAAAAGCAUACAAAUCUGUUUGCUGCAGUAUUUAGAACAGUAUGAGUUAUAGUCCAUUGGGAAACAUGCCUUAAAAAUAGUAUUAUGUAGCAUGGACAAAACUGAAGACUAUUUACUAGUUUCUUUGUCUGCAGAACCAUUGGCAUACCUGAUUCUUUCUACUGGCUUAUCACUGUCAUUAACUUAAAAACAUAGACUCCCCAGGAACCUAAUUUAAUAUGAUUUUCUAUCUACGUCAUUUGAUGCUGGUUUUCAGAAAUUGGGAGAAGUGACAGUUCUUGCCCCCCAAAGAGGGGAAGGUUCUUGACCCCUUCCUUCUGUGGGUGUGAUGAUUUUCUAGGAUGGGUCCCUAGGAUGGAACUACCUGCAGGAAGCCCACCUAGCUCUGAUCCACCAGCUCUCCAUGAGCUCAGGAGUUUGUUUAAUGACAAAUUUGUGAUCAGGCAGUGGGGGAAUCAGGUGGACUCUGUCCCAGAUGGAUGAAGUUUGUAACCUCUGCUGCUGGAGAGAACCCUCACCAUGAGGUUAAAUCCUUCAGGGCUUUCUUUCUGGAAGAAAGAAUCCACAGCCUUGGCUUAGACCCUCUUUCACGUUAAUUUGCAGGAACAGAUUAUCAGAGUGUUAGUCUAGGGCAACUGCUACAGAAAAUUCAUCCUCACCUAUAUCCAAGUGGCUUCAAAGGAGUGUCUCGCUGUAGGGGAAUAGCCACUUAGAGUGUUACAGAGUAAUUUUUACUCCCUGUGUGGAUGAUAACACAGAGCCAGCCAAACACUAAAAGCCCAAGGGGAAAGAAAAAGUGGCUCAUGGUAACUGCUGGUACCAAAAGCAUCCUGAAUUCACCAGCUGCCAGGGCCUCUUAGAAGUUUGUUGGAACAUAACUUUUUUCAACAAAAAGGGAAGUGCACUUUUCCAGCAGCUGCAGGGUACUGAAUUAGACAUUUUUAGAGCCACAUAGUUGCCAUGCCCACUGCCAACACCCAUCAAUGAUGUACUUGAGAGUUUUCCUGGCUAAAUAUCAAACUUCCCUGAAAUAAUCUUCAGGAGCCUCAGUUAGUACAUUCAGUUAGUAUUGCAGAAAAGUGGAGCCAGCAGAUUUGGUAAAUAUUUAAGAUUGGGAUUAGCCACUAUUUUAAAACACUUUCAUCUGAUAGAUGUUCACAUCUUCUAUGACACCCCAAAUCCUUCCCAGAGUUAAAUAACAAUAGUUGCUUAUUAUUGAUUCUGUAUUAACUCACAAAUUAUUAAACUUAAAUCAGUCCCUUUAUAUUGGAGGUUUGCUUACAAAAGUGGAAGAGGAAUUAAAUGCUAUUCAGGCCUGAUUUAUUUCCACUGAGAUGGUACUUCCAGUUAGAAGGAAAAAAUAAACAUUGUAAAGGGUGCUUUGUUCAAUCUUUAUUUAUUUAUUUAAUAGAGACAGAUCCCUGAGCCUGCUUGAGCAGGGAGUAUGGUUUAGGUGAUCUCCAGAGGUUCGUUCCAACCUCAACCUUUCUGUGAUUCUGUAGUAGCUGGCAUAAAACUCACCUUCUUGUCAUUUGGGCUGUUUUUCACUUAAAGGAUAAAUGGAAGUGGUAGCUGUUGCUUUUGAGAAAGUUUAGCUGCUUUUAAGAUAGUUCUAAGUCUAGGAAAGUCUGCUGAGGAAGCAAGUAGACAAGAUGACAAGGGGUCAAGAUGGUCAUAUAUCAGUGUACAAUGCAAAGACACAAACUGAGUAACUCUGGAAGCUGAACAAUGCCUUUUUCUGUUUAUUGCUUUGUGCUCAAUCUACUGAUAGUGCAAAUAUUUGGAGAAGAAAAGCAGCAUAAGCAUCACAGAAGCAUGUAGAGAGACUAAAGCAUCCUGGAAAACAAGGGAUGUGACCCUGCAAGAGACUGGAAAAAAGGGUUUUGAGCCAAAUUCCUGUGGAAGGAGUCAGAGAAAUUCAGUCAGCUUCUUGUAUUUGUAACCACUGAACAGCACAAGUCUUCAAAAUGGUGGACCUUAAGGACUGCACUGAAACAUAGAGGGGAUUCAGAAAAGAUACUAGGUGCCAGUACUACUGGAAGUAAUAAAGACUUGCUGUACACAUUAAAAACAAAACAAAAUAAUAAAAAAAAAAAAAAAAAACAAA